GCCCAGAUAGCUCAGUCGGUAGAGCAGAGGACUGAAAAUCCUCGUGUCGGCGGUUCGAUUCCACCUCUGGGCA
rnacentral:tRNA from 1 species